GACGUAGGUGGCGAACGUUAUCCGGAAUUAUUGGGCGUAAAGGGUGCGUAGGCGGCGCGGUAAGUCGGGUGUGAAAUCUCGGGGCUUAACUCCGAAACUGCAUUCGAUACUGCCGUGCUUGAGGACUGGAGAGGAGACUGGAAUUUACGGUGUAGCAGUGAAAUGCGUAGAUAUCGUAAGGAAGACCAGUGGCGAAGGCGGGUCUCUGGACAGUUCCUGACACUGAGACACGAAGGCCAGGGGAGCAAACGGG
rnacentral:rRNA from 1 species